GACGAACGCUGGCGGCGUGCUUAACACAUGCAAGUCGAACGGAAAGGCCCUGCUUUUGUGGGGUGCUCGAGUGGCGAACGGGUGAGUAACACGUGAGUAACCUGCCCUUGACUUUGGGAUAACUUCAGGAAACUGGGGCUAAUACCGGAUAGGAGCUCCUGAUGCAUGGUGGGGGUUGGAAAGUUUCGGCGGUUGGGGAUGGACUCGCGGCUUAUCAGCUUGUUGGUGGGGUAGUGGCUUACCAAGGCUUUGACGGGUAGCCGGCCUGAGAGGGUGAACAGCCACAUUGGUACUGAGAUACGGCGCAGACUCCUACGGUGGGCAGCAGUGGGGAAUAUUGCACAGUGGUCGGAAGCCUAAUACAACAACGCCGCGGUUGGGAUGACGUCUUGCGGGUUGUAAACCGCUUUCGCCUAAUACGAAGCGUUAAUGACGGUAAUGUAUAAAGAAGCACCGGCUAACUACGUG
rnacentral:rRNA from 1 species